rnacentral:rRNA from 1 species
UUCUUCGGAAGCAAGGGAGACAGGCGGCGCACGGUUGUCGUCAGCUCGUGUCGUGAGAUGUUGGGUUAAGUCCCGCAACGAGCGCAACCCUUAUCCUUAGUUGCCAUCAAGUUAAGUUGGGCACUCUAAGGAGACUGCCGGUGAUAAACCGGAGGAAGGUGGGGAUGACGUCAAAUCAUCAUGCCCCUUAUGUCUUGGGCUACACACGUGCUACAAUGGUCGGCACAACGGGGAGCGAAGGAGCGAUCCCAAGCAAAUCCCAAUAAACCGAUCCCAGUUCGGAUUGCAGGCUGCAACUCGCCUGCAUGAAGUCGGAGUUGCUAGUAAUCGCGAAUCAGAACGUCGCGGUGAAUGCGUUCCCGGGCCUGUACACACCG